rnacentral:rRNA from 1 species
GAAACUUAAAGGAAUUGGCGGGGGGGCACUACAACGGGUGGAGCCUGCGGUUUAAUUGGACUCAACGCCGGAAAACUCACCUGGGGCGACAGCAAUAUGUAGGUCAGGCUGAAGGUCUUACCUGAAUCGCUGAGAGGAGGUGCAUGGCCGUCGUCAGUUCGUACUGUGAAGCAUCCUGUUAAGUCAGGCAACGAGCGAGACCCGUGCCCACUGUUGCCAGCAUAUCCUUCGGGAUGAUGGGUACUCUGUGGGGACCACUGGUGCUAAACCAGAGGAAGGUGCGGGCUACGGUAGGUCAGUAUGCCCCGAAUCUCCAGGGCUACACGCGGGCUACAAUGGACGGGACAAUGGGCACCUACCCUGAAAAGGGUUGGUAAUCUCAUAAACCCGAUCGUAGUUCGAAUUGAGGGCUGUAACUCGCCCUCAUGAAGCUGGAAUCCGUAGUAAUCGCGUUUCAAUAUAACGCGGUGAAUACGUCCCUGCUCCUUGCACACACCGCCCGUCAAACCACCCGAGUGAGGUAUGGGUGAGGUCAUGGACCAGUGCCGUGUUCGAACCUAAAUUUCGCAAGGGGGGUUAAGUCGUAACAA